CCUACGGGAGGCAGCAGGGGGGGAUAUUGCACAAUGGGGGAAACCCUGAUGCAGCGACGCCGCGUGGGGGAAGACGGUCCUCUGGAUUGUAAACCACUGUCCCCAGGGACGAAGAUGACGGUACCGGGGGAGGAAGCGCCGGCUAACUACGUGCCAGCAGCCGCGGUAAGACGUAGGGAGCGAGCGUUGUCCGGAAUUACGGGGGGUAAAGGGAGCGGAGGCGGGACUGCAAGGUGGGUGUCAAAUCUACCGGCUCACCCGGUAGCCGCACUCAAAACUGCUGUUCUUGAGUGAAGUAGGGGCAGGCGUAAUUCCUCGUGUAGCGGUGAAAUGCGUAGAUAUUCGGAG
rnacentral:rRNA from 1 species